rnacentral:rRNA from 1 species
UGCCAGCCGCCGCGGUAAUACGGGGGGGGCAAGCGUUGUUCGGAAUUACUGGGCGUAAAGGGUUCGUAGGUGGCCCGCUAAGUCAGACGUGAAAUCCCUCAGCUCAACUGGGGAACUGCGUCUGAGACUGGUGGGCUCGAGUGCAGGAGAGGAACGCGGAAUUCCAGGUGUAGCGGUGAAAUGCGUAGAUAUCUGGAGGAACACCGGUGGCGAAGGCGGCGUUCUGGACUGUUACUGACACUGAGGAACGAAAGCCAGGGGAGCGAACAGGAUUAGAUA